rnacentral:tRNA from 1 species
GCCGGUUUGUCUCAGUGGAUAGAGUGUCAGCCUUAGUACUGAAGGGUCACCGGUUCAAUUCCGGUCAAGGGCA